rnacentral:lncRNA from 1 species
CCCUCUCCUUGCCUGUAUCUCUUUGCGUCUCCAUCUGCCUCGCUGACAGUGCUCUCCCUGUCUCUGUUGGGCAGCCUCAUUCUCUCCUCCAGGAUGUCGGGCCCUCUGACCAAUGCGGUCUUCUUCCUGCUCCAGCUGGCGCUACUGCUCUCCCCAGCGCAGCGUCUGCAAGCCAAGCCACUGUCCAGCGUUCACGGAGGACGGAAUGCGGACGGCUCUGCUGGGGCCUUGCGCCUCCGCAGGGAGCUCCGUGAUCCGCUGCCUUAUGAGGCCCAGAUGAUGUCAUACCCGCCGGUGGAAGGGCAGGCCAAUGAGCUCCUCUACCAACCGGAAGGCUGGAGGGGGCAGGGUUUAGGACAGGCCCUGCAGCGUCUGGUUGAGGACGACCGCAGGCGAGAUCAGGAAGCGGCCUAUUUGGCAGGCUUGCUCCGCCUCCUCAGUGAAGCCGAAAGUAAUUCCCAGAGGGCUGCAAAAGGAGACGAAGAGGAGGAGGAGGAGGAGGAGGAAGGAGGUGACCUCCAGGGGCCCUACCCUCCCGAUUACGAUGAGACGGAGCAGGGCGUCAGGAUGACCAAGCCUCAGGCUGCCUGGCAGGGCCUGCUGGACCCCCAGCUCGCCCAGGCCCUGCUGAGGCGCUACAGGCAGGAGAGGCUGCUGCAGGCCAGGCUCAACCCCGGUGGCAACAGGCUGCAGGAGAGCCGCGGAGACGCAGCGGCAGAGGAGAAGGAGGAGGAGCUUCUCAGAUACCUUGUUGGGCGCGUACUGUCCAGCCUCGCAUCUGACUCCCCCCAGAACCCGCCCGCCCGCCUGGCCAAGCGGGACCUGGGGGCAGUUAGCGGGGGGGCCACGGGGGCGGUGCCGCUGAAAAGGUCCCGCCGCUCGGUAGAUUCUGUGCCGCUUCAGCCGCCCAACUCUGAACCUUCGCUGCUUAGAGUGAAGAGGCUGGAUGAAGAGGAGGACAAGGUGGCAGGGGGGGCGGCUGGGGGGGUCCUCCGGGCCGCUCACACGGGGCUGCAGAGGAUGAAGCGCAUCGACAGCGACCUGCCGCAGGUGAAGCACGGCCGCAGCAGACGGGCUUUGACCUACGACCCCAACGUGCUGGCCCAGCGCAUCCUACAGUACCUGCCGGAGUAGAGACGGCAAGACGGAAAUAUGCGGCUUACCUAAAUUCCACACGCAUACACAUAGUACAUUGGCGUACACGCAAGGUAUCAGCUUACAAGGAGACAGUCAAAGCUGUCUGCUCCUGGAAAAGUUGCCUCUGUAUUCGUUUUCGUGUCCCCCCCCCCCCCCCCCCUCCGGAAUAAAUGUAUCUCACAAUCUCCA